AAAUGCGAUAAGUAAUGUGAAUUGCAGAAUUCAGUGAAUCAUCGAAUCUUAGAACGCACAUUGCGCCCGCCAGCACUCUGGCGGGCAUGCCUGUUCGAGCGUCAUUUCAACCCUCAGAACCCCUUGCGGGAUCUGGCGUUGGGGAUUGGCAUCCAGCCAGCCCCGAAAUCUAGUGGCGGUCCCUCCGCGACCUCCCCUGUGCAGUAGCGAUACCUCGCAGCGGGACAGCGGUCUGACCACGCCGUAAAACCCCCAACUUCUCAAGGUUGACCUCGAAUCAGGUAGGAAUACCCGCUGAACUUAAGC
rnacentral:misc_RNA from 1 species